rnacentral:rRNA from 1 species
GACGAACGCUGGCGGCGUGCUUAACACAUGCAAGUGGAGCGACGAACCAGGCUUCGGCCUGGGGCAGAGCCGCGAACGGGUGAGUAACACGUGGGUAACCUGCCCUGAUGAUCGGGACAACCCGGGAAACCGGGCUAAUACCGAAUGUGCUGCCCUCGCAUCAGUGAGGGUAGGAAAGGAAGCUUCGGCCUCCGCAUCAGGAUGGGCCCGCGGCCCAUUAGCUUGUUGGUGAGGAACGGCUCACCAAGGCUUCGAUGGGUAGCUGGUCUGAGAGGACGAUCAGCCACACUGGGACUGAGACACGGCCCAGACUCCUACGGGAGGCAGCAGUGGGGAAUCUUGCGCAAUGCGCGAAAGCGUGACGCAGCAACGCCGCGUGGGGGAA